UUAAGUCCCGUAACGAGCGCAACCCUUGUCCUUAGUUACCAGCACGUUAUGUGGGCACUCUAAGGAGACUGCCGGUGACAAACCGGAGGAAGUGGGGAUGACGUCAAGUCAUCAUGGCCCUUACGGCCUGGGCUACACACGUGCUACAAUGGUCGGUACAAAGGGUUGCCAAGCCGCGAGGUGGAGCUAAUCCCAUAAAACCGAUCGUAGUCCGGAUCGCAGUCUGCAACUCGACUGCGUGAAGUCGGAAUCGCUAGUAAUCGUGAAUCAGAAUGUCACGGUGAAUACGUUCCCGGGCCUU
rnacentral:rRNA from 1 species